GAUUUUGUUUGUCUGGGCUGUGUCUCAGUCUCAGUGUGACUGAUCAUCCUCUCGGAACAUCUACUGAUCAUUGCUUUGGUAAGCUAUUGCCUCCAACUAGCUAAUUAGAUGCAAGCCCCUCCUCAAGCGGCUUCCUCCUUUUGCUCCUCAGCCUGCAGGGUAUUAAUAGUCGUUUCCAGUUGUUGUUCCCCUCCCAAAGGCAGGUUCUUACGCGUUACUCACCCAUCCGUCACUGGAAGCACCACUUCCCGUCUGACUUGCAUGUGUUAAGCAUGCCGCUAGCGUUCAUCCUGAGCUAGGAUCGAACUCUCCCUGAGAUUCAUAGUUGCAUGGUCUAUUGAGUUGCUUAAUGAG
rnacentral:lncRNA from 1 species